AUUGAACGCUGGCGGCAUGCUUUACACAUGCAAGUCGAACGGCAGCACGGGCUUCGGCCUGGUGGCGAGUGGCGAACGGGUGAGUAAUGCGUCGGAACGUGCCGAGUAAUGGGGGAUAACGCAUCGAAAAGGUGUGCUAAUACCGCAUACGCUCUGAGGAGGAAAGCGGGGGACCUUCGGGCCUCGCGUUAUUCGAGCGGCCGACGUCUGAUUAGCUAGUUGGUGAGGUAAUGGCUCACCAAGGCGACGAUCUCUAACUGGUUUGAGAGAAUGACCAGUCACACUGGAACUGAGACACGGUCCAGACUCCUACGGGAGGCAGCAGUGGGGAAUAUUGCACAAUGGGCGCAAGCCUGAUGCAGCCAUGCCGCGUGUGUGAAGAAGGCCUUCGGGUUGUAAAGCACUUUCAGCGGGGGAGGAAGGGCCACGUAGUUAAUACCUAGUGGGCAUUGACGUUACUCGCAGAAGAAGCACCGGGCUAACUCCGU
rnacentral:rRNA from 1 species